UUCUGAUCCGAAGCUGCGGA
rnacentral:miRNA from 1 species